rnacentral:rRNA from 1 species
AGUCGUAACAAGGUUUCCGUAGGUGAACCUGCGGAAGGAUCAUUAAAGAGUAAGGGUGCUCAGCGCCCGACCUCCAACCCUUUGUUGUUAAAACUACCUUGUUGCUUUGGCGGGACCGCUCGGUCUCGAGCCGCUGGGGAUUCGUCCCAGGCGAGCGCCCGCCAGAGUUAAACCAAACUCUUGUUAUUUAACCGGUCGUCUGAGUUAAAAUUUUGAAUAAAUCAAAACUUUCAACAACGGAUCUCUUGGUUCUCGCAUCGAUGAAGAACGCAGCGAAAUGCGAUAAGUAAUGUGAAUUGCAGAAUUCAGUGAAUCAUCGAAUCUUUGAACGCACAUUGCGCCCCUUGGUAUUCCGAGGGGCAUGCCUGUUCGAGCGUCAUUACACCACUCAAGCUAUGCUUGGUAUUGGGCGUCGUCCUUAGUUGGGCGCGCCUUAAAGACCUCGGCGAGGCCACUCCGGCUUUAGGCGUAGUAGAAUUUAUUCGAACGUCUGUCAAAGGAGAGGAACUCUGCCGACUGAAACCUUUAUUUUUAUAGGUUGACCUCGGAUCAGGUAGGGAUACCCGCUGAACUUAAGCAUAUCAAUAGUCG